AGUAACAGUGGGAGACUUUAACACCUCACUGUCAAUAUUAGACAUUGAGACCGAAAAUUAACAAAGAUAUUCAGGACUUGAACUCAGCUCUGGAUAAGGUGGACCUAAUACAUAUCUGCAGAACUCUCCACCCCAAAACAACUGAAUAUACAUUCUUCUCAGUGCCACAUAGCACUUAAUCUAAAUUCGUCACAUAAUUGAAAGUAAAACUCUUCAGCAAAUUAAAAAAAAAACUGAAAUAAUAAGCAGUCUCUCAGAUAACAUCACCAUCAAAUUAGGGCUCAAGACUAAGAAACUCACUCAAAACUACACAACUACAUUGAAAUUUAACAACUUGCUCCUGAAUGACUCCCAGGUAGAUAUGAAGUUAGGCCAGAAAUCAAGAUGUUCUUUGAAACCAAUGAGACAGAUGAUUGUAUCAGAAUCUCUGGGAUGCAGCUAAAGCAGUGUUAAGAGGGAAAUUUACAGCACUAAAUGUCCUCAUCAAAAAGCUAGAAAGAUCUCAAAUUAACAUCCUAACAUCACAACUAAAAGAACUCGAGAACCAAGAGCAAAGAAACAACAAAGCUAGCAGAAGACAAGAAAUGAAAAAGAUCAAAGUGAUGCUGGCAGAAUUGGCUAGCCAUAUGCAAAAAUUGAAGUUGGACCUUUUGCUUACACCUUAUAUGAAAAUUGACUCAAGAUGAAUUAAAGACUUAAAUGUAAAACCCAAAACUGUGAAAAAAACCCAGAAGAAAAUCUAGGCAAUAUCAUAGUCUUGGGCAAAGAUAUCAUGACCAAAACACCAAAAGGAAUUGCAACAAAAGCAAAAAUUGACAAAUGGAAUUAAUUUAAAGUAAAGAGCUUCUGCACAGCAAAAGAAACUAUCAUCAGAGUGAACAGACAACCUACAGAGUGGGAGAAAAUUUUAGCAAUCUAUCCAUCUGACAAGGUUCUAAUAUCCAGAAUCUACAAGGAACUUAAACAAAUUUACAAGAAAAAAACAAACAAACAACCUUAAAAAUUGGGCAAAAGACAUGAGCAGACACUUCCCAAAAGAAGACAUUUAAGUGGCCAAGAAACAAAUGAAAAAAAAAGCUCAACAUCACUGAUCAUUAUAGAAAUGCAAAUGAAAACCACAAUGAGGUACCAUCUCAUGCCAGUUAGAAUGGUGAUUAUUAAAUAGUCAAGAAACAACAAAUGCUAGUGAGGCUGUGGGGAAAUAGGAACAUUUUUACACUAUGGGUGGUAAUGUAAAUUAGUUUAACCAUUAUGGAAGACAGUGUGUUGAUUCCUCAAAGACCUAGAACCAGAAAUACCAUUUGACCCAGCAAUCCCAUUACUGGGUAUAUACCCAAAGGAAUAUAAAUCAUUCCAUUAUCAAGAUACAUGCACUUGUAUGUUCACUGCAGCACUAUUCACAAUAGCAAAGCCAUGAAAUCAACGCAAAUGCCCAUCAAUGAUAUACUGGAUAAGGAAAAUGUGGUACAUGUAUGCUGUAGGAUACUAUGCAGCCAUGAAAAGGAUGAGAUUGGCCGGGUGUGGUGGCUUAUGCCUGUCAUCCCAGCACUUUGGGAGGCUGAGGCAGGUGGAUCACUUGAAGUCAGGAGUUCGAGACCAACCUGGUCAAUAUGGUGAAUCCCUGUCUCUACUAAAAAAAAUACAAAAAUUGGCUGGGCAUGGUGGCAGGCACUUGUAAUCCCAGCUGCUCAGGAGGCUGAGUAAGGAGAAUUGCUUGAACCUGGGAGGUGAAGAUUGCAGUGAGCCAAGAUUGCACCAUUGCACUCCAGCCUGGGCAACAAAAGCUAAAACUCCAUCUCAAACAAAAAAACAAUGAUAUUAUGUCCUUUGCAGGGACAUGGAUGGAGCUGGAAGCCAUUAUCCUCAGCAAACUAAUAAACUAAUGUAGGAACAGUAAACCAAACACCUCAUGCUGUCACUCAUAAGUGGGAGCUGAACAAUGAGAGAACAUGGACACAGAACAACACACACUGGUCUGUUAGUGGGGGUAGGAGGAGGGAGAGCAUUAGGAAAAAUAGCUAAUGUAUGCUGGGCUUAAAUCCUAGGUGAUGGGUUGAUAGGUGCAGCAAACCACCAUGGCACCUGUUUACCUGUGUAACAAACCUGCACAUCCUGCACAUGUAUCCUGGAACUUAAAAUAAAAUAAUAUUUACUUAAUGCAUCAUUAUUCUUGACACUAACUUAUUCUUUGUGCCACCUGUGAAUACUGAACUCCAAAUACUCUCUUAACUGUUUUUACUAUACUUUAUGGUAAUGACAACAAAAGCAAAUUUACCCAGCAUAUGCAAUAUAAUGUGAAAAAUAAUUCAUUUUCUGGUCAUAUUUAAUUUACUAUGUGGGACUUUAUAGCAUAAACUCUAUCUUCUUUGAUCUCUUGAGGUCAAAACAUGCAAUCCUAGAACAUGACCUCUUUCCAUGUUGACCAUACUUCUGCCUUCCACAAAGUAAUACCAGUAGGAGAAUAGUAAAGUGUCCAGAAAAGGGUGUUAAUAGCGGCCCCACUUGAGCAGAAUGUGUCUGUCUUUCUCCCAACAUGACCGUUGACAAAUCCAGGAAAGCCUAAUGUCACUGUGUAAGUGGAGGUAAGAGAGGACAUCAAGCAAAAGGUCCUGUUUUGCUUGCAGGCUGUCUCCAAGUCUUCAGAGGAAGUAUUCUGUGGCCACCCCAGAAGGACUGCCUCAUCCAGUGAAGACAACAGAAAUGCCUCCCUGAGAGCUCUGCUUGGUCUGUGUACUGCUCAAUUUCCCCACCCAACCUGGAGUGGGACUACAUCAAACUUAAAAGCUUCUGCACAGCAAAUAAGACAAUCAACAGAGUGAAAAGACAACCUAUACAAUGGGAAAAGAUAUUUUGCCAACUAUGUAUCUGACAAGAAGAUAAUUUCCAAAAUAUAUAAGAAACUCUUACAACUUAACAGCAAAAGAAAGAAAGAAAGAAAAGAAAGAAGGAAAGAGAAAAUGAAGAAAGAAGAAAAGAAAGAGAGAAAGAAAUUUAAAAAUGAAUGAGCCAAGGGCUUGAACAGGCAUUUCUUCAAAGGACACAUACAAAUAACCAAUAAGUGCAUGAAGAGGUGUUUCACACUACUAAUCAUUAGGGAAACACAAACCAAAACCACAAUGAGGUAUCAUCUUAUACUUGUUUUAAGAUGGCUAUUAAUAAAAACAUGCGAAAUAAGUA